rnacentral:lncRNA from 1 species
GUACGAGACUCAAGAUUGGACAAAAGGGUAGAAUUACCUGACAUAUGAUCGGUAGCACCAGAAUCAAUAACCCAUUUUGAGGAUGAAGACACAAGACAUGUAGUAGAGUUACCUGACUCGGCAAGUGCAGUGAUAGAGGAGGAAUUAGAGGAUUUUAGAGAUGCCUGGUAUUGGACGAAUUGUGUAUACUCAUCUGCAGAUAUCAAAAUUCCUUGAUUGGAAGAUCCAUUCAAUUUGUGUUCCGUGAUUUUAGUCAUCAUAGGAAUCACAUCAGUUACGGUGGCGGUUUUCACUUCAACCAUGACAACAAACCCAAAACGACAGCAACAAAAGAAACACAGAAUCAGAAAACAGUACCCGGCGUGAACAGUACCACGUGAACAGUACUCGUGAACAGUACCCGUGAACAGUUCCGAUGAACAGUACCCGUGAACAGUUCCGAUGAACAGUACCGAUAAAAACACCUCCCCCAAAACCCGAACGGCAAAUAAACCUCAGAUCUGACAAGGGAACGAUGUAGCGAUUCCAGCGAUGGUGAGAUCCAAAUAUUACCCGUUAUGGGUAACCCAAAUAAACAGAGCCCUAAGUCUCCAAAAAAAUUUUUUUUUUUCUUAAAAAAACUUUGACGGGAGAGAAAAAUUAAAUCUCUACGAGAAAGGCUCUGAUACCAUGUAGAAGGAUAAUAUUUGUUGUAUUUCACAAUAGAGAUUACAAUCUAUUUAUACAUGAGAGAGGGUAUCUAAAUAGGAAGGAAAAUCAAGUCUAUGAUUAUACAAUCCCUAGGAUUAAGCAACUGAC